UAGAUUGUAAGGUGAUAUAUGAAUAUAAAGGUAAAAGUGAGAGUAAUAAUGAGUGGUGAGAAUGAUAGUGGAAAUAGGAAGCAAUAGCAAUAGCAAUAGCAUGUUGGUGUGACAGCAAUAUAGAAAGAAUACAAUUGCAAGUACCCUGAUGGUUCAUGAUUUUCUCCGCCAGUUAAAUUAGUGAGCUCAAACUACUUUUUUCUACUAGCUAUAAAAAAUAGCAACCACAUUCAGGAAACUACAGUAACACACUAUAAAAAGGAGUAUUGAUAUUUGUGCACAAACACUGUAUUGUCAUAUGAUCACUUCACUGCUACUACUACAAAUACACAGUACAGAUACCCUUUUAUCUUCACUCUCCUAUUUCUUUCUCUCUUUAUCAACAGUACUUCUCUGCUCUUAAAUAAAUUCACUAGGGUUUCAUUUCAUUUUUCUAUAUCUUCUUUUUUAGAUUCUUUUGGAAAUAGUGCCUUUCAUUUGCCAGAUUUGUUUGGAUAUCAGAUCUUCAAUCGUUUUCUUAUCUCUUCUCUGAUUCUCAUGAAGAUAUUAAUUAACUAUACUCUUCCUUCCUUCCAUUUUUUUUUAUUUUUAUUUUUGUUGGAAAAUGAUCUUUCACAUAAUUUCUCUUCCGUGAUUUCUGCUUUUGACUAUUGUUAACUUUUUCCUUUUUUUUUUUGUUACUGUUUUGUUUUUUAACUAAAAAAAAAAAAGAAAAAAAACUCCUGUAUUCUGAUUGAUAAUUUUAUUUAUAUAUACCCUUUUCCAUGUUGUAUUGUUUCUUUUGUUAUGUUCUUUUGGUUGAAGCUUUUGGAGUUUAGGUUGGCUUUGAAGACCUUAGAUUUAUGAGAAUGGUGAAGAAGAUUUGAAGGCUUAUUCUCAAUAGAAGGAUCAGGUAAAUUUAUCUCAAUCUUGUUUGAUUUUAGAUUUGAUAAAAUAUUAUUAUUCUAACAACUUCUUGUCUUUUAGUAUUCCUUUUUCAAUGCAAUCAAAUGGAGUUUAAAUUUUUGGUAAGAUUGAAUUGAUUAUGUUAUAAAUAUUUUUUAUAAGAAAUGGUUUAAGAGAGCUUCCUUCAGUCCACUCAUGGAUAGGAAAAAGUUUUGAAUUAGCUGCUGACUCAUUCAUUCAAACACAAUAGAAAUAAAACAUAAUGAUAUGCUAUUGUGAAUGUGUGGAUGAUGCAGGAGCUGAAUUUCAUCUUUCUCUUGUCUUUGCUUGGACUGAAGGGAGCUCCCUUUUUCUAUUUUAUAUCAUUUUCUUCUUAUUCAUUUCAUCCUUGUACAUAUUGCUAGCGCCAUUUUAAUAUAUUAUUUCCCCUAACAAACAUAUUAUAUAUAUGAUAAUGGUAUAGUUCACCAUUAUUAGUCUAAAAGGUCUAAAUUCUCCUAGGCUUGUUUUUUUCUUCUCCUAGGCUUGUGUUGGUGAUUUGUAUCUCAUAAAUUUUGUAGGCAGAUCAAAAUGUUUAUUUUGUUCCCUGUAUCAUUUUUUGUGUCUAGUAUUAAAUGUUUAUGUUUUUUUUGGUAGAAAUUUGAAUUCAGGUUCACUAUGUUCUGAAAUUUUCCAUUGAUAUCCUAUAUUACAUGUAAAUUCAAUUAUAAUCUUCAUUAUUGAUGGUUUUCUCUUUUCUCUAGCUUGGUGUGAUGCACGUUUUCUUAAAUCCAAUUUCCUUUUCAUAAAAGAAACACAAUGGAGUAACAUUUGUGAACAUAUAAUAGUUAUUAAAUUUUAAUAAUUUUUUAUAAUAGUAAUUAUUUAUAAUUUUAAUUUAUGUAUUCUUCCUUACAAUAAAUAUUUAGUGAUAAGUUAGACAAAAUAAUAGAGAGUACAUUUUUAGAGUGAACAAAAUGACAAUGUGAAACUAUUCUAGAAUGUUAGUGUAUGUCUACUAAACUCUUAAAAGAUAGAGUGAGUGAGUAUUAGAUAAGAUGUCAAAGAGCUUCUCUCAUGGGUGGUUAAGCAUCACUUCUAGUUAGGUAACUCAUUGGGGAGUGAUUAAUGAGGGAAGCUAUUAGGGAGAAAGGUUUCUACCCUCAACUUUUUUUCUAUGUAAUGUGAUGUGUAAUAAUUAUAAGUGAGAGAUAUAUUUAAAUUUUUUUUGGAUGUA